UAAACUGGAGGCAGGCACAGAAAAUACAGUGCAUUAAAGGUAGGGUCAGUUUGAGUGGAGCAGCUUUAAAGCACUAAGCAUGUGUCCAGUCUGCAAUAAGCAUGAAACUAAAGUUAGAACCAGCAAGUAUCCAAGAAGUCGCCUGGUGCAGCAACCCCUGAACUCACAGCCCUGUGGGAUGCUUGGCAGCUCCUAAUCUCAUACUCCGUCAUGGAACAUCUACUGAAGACCCUGCAGGAAAGCGGCCAAGGCCAGAAAGAGCACCAUGCCUUGACUUCGGCUGGAAUCCCAGCAAUCAGCUGCGCUUUUCCAUGUCUACUGCACGUGAACCACCGGUGCCAGUUUAAACUGUUAUGUGCCAAUCACUACACGAAUCGCCUUCAGUAAUGCUUAGGGAGCACCCACCAUGGGCCCAGCACCCCACAAGACCACUUGUAUGUGUUACCUUGUUUGAUGCCAUUUGACAGUUGAGAAACCUGAGAUUCAAAGGCAGCAGCCACUCACACAAGGGUGGGAGCUGGCAGCAGCAGAGUGUCAGGGUCCAGCCCCGACACCUGAGCUCCAGCGCUGGCGUUUGACCACCCUGCUAAUCCUACUGGAUCAUGUGACCUAAAAUUCAUGUGAAAAUCUAUAAAUUACUUCACAUACAGGACUCAGCGGAUUCUCAAGGGCCCCCGGGGUAAGAUGGUUGAGUCAUGCCUGGGGACAGCUGACCUCCUCACGUUCUCAUGGCUGAUCUGAGAGCCCUGGGUUUGGAAGUAGGACACGAACCUGUUUAGAGCUGUGAUUCUGUCACUUCCUAGGUGUGUGAUGUUGGGAAUUAACCAAGUUUCUUCACCAGUAAUAUCUGCACAGUAACACUGUCCUCAUUCCAUUGUGAGGGUUAAAUGAGAAAUGGUUUGCAAAGAACCUGGUAACCAGGAGGCCUGAAGCACACCUGUAAUAUUUCUAUGUGACUUAGAGCAUGGAGAUUUUUAAAUGCUAAAAGUUCAUCAUUUUAAACUAUGUAAAAUAAUUAUAUAAAAUUUAAUUUUUUGUUUUAUCAUCAGUUUUAACUGAAUUCUUGAAUCACUUUCUUCUGAUUCAAACAUGUCACUGUUCCGUGCCCAGUGGGAACGUUUGAGAUCAGCCUCUUGGCCACUGCGUUUGUCUGCACUUGAACCUUCGCUGAGAGGAAUGCCGGCUUUGCUGUGUGCAGCCACAGGCCGUCGGGGCCUGAGCGAGAAGCACCACCUGGUUGAGGAGCAGGUGCCCUGAGAAAACAGAGACCACUCAGGACUGUUAAGGUUCUGUUUGAAGCCUGCAUCAAAGUCUGGGCAGCCUUCCCGGAAACGUCACUCAGUAUGUGGGCACAGCCACCUGGGGCCUGUGGGCUCCGCCGGGGACCCGGGCCAACUCCAUUGGAAAGGCCCCGCCUCCGGCUACGUCUUCCUCAGUUUCCACCUCUGUCCUUUGCUGACUUAGUCCUUCAAGAACUUGGGUCUGAAGACAGCUUUGUUUUCACUGCUGUGAUAGCAAAAACACAGCAGAGCCAAACACAACAGGGGCCGGCCAAGCUCUGUGAGCUCAGUCCUGCGUGCCGGGAAGGCGCCGGGCCCCUCCGGAUGCCGGAUGCCAAGUGCUGUGGACUCAGGCCUUAAAGGAAUAUUCAGGCAACACUUCACAAAGGCGCAUUUCAAACAGCUGCUUAGACACAAAUCUCAGUGGCUGACAUGGUUUAGUGCUGUGUUCCUGCUCAAAUCUCACGUCAAAUUGAAAUCCCUAGUGUUGGAGGAGGGUCCUGCUGGGGAUGACUGAAUCGUGGGGGUGGAUUCCCCUUGCUGUUCUCGUGACAGACUCACCAGAUGUGGUCGUUUGAAAGUACGCAGCGCCUUCCCCCUUGCUCGCGCUCUCUCUCCUGCUUCACCAUGUGAAGAAGGUGCCGGCUUCCCCUUGCCUUCUGCCAUCUUCUAAGUUCCUGAGGCCUCUCAACCGUGCUUCCUGUACAGCCUAUUUCUGCAUAAAUUACCCAGUUACCCAGUCUCACGUAGUUCUUCACAGCAUUGUGAGAAUGGGCCAGGACAGUGGCUCUCCAAAGACCAGGGACUGUAGAGGCAAAUCGCUCUUCGCAGUUGCAUGUCACAGUCACAGCACCUUACAUGUGCACGGGGUCCUGGUGUGAUGUGGGGGCACGUCCCAGACCCUGCAGGCAGGACCAGACUGCAGCAGACAGCCCUGUCAUUCCAGCCAGAACAGAGCCACACACAGCAGACACAUUAUAGCUCCAGCUGUUGCCAGAAGUGCCUAAAGCACCCACUCUAUUUGGUCAUUACUGCUAUAUAAAGAAAUUCACUUUUAUUGGUAUUUUUUUCCUUACUAUUCCUUGGAUGUUCAUGAGUAAUUUCACAGUUGAGGCUCUCUGUGAACAGUGUGCAGGACCUUCACAUUCCUAGGGAGACAAGAAGGAUAAAACUCCAGGCCCAGCGUCAGGCAUGCCAGGUGAGCCAGCUUCACACAUUUGGGGAAUCUGAGUUUCUUCCUGCUCGAAUCCAUGCACACGAAAGCCUCUCAGAGCUCCAGCGACAUGUGGGAGGUUAUCAAGGCUCCGUCUCACUCCCCAGAUUUAAAUUCUGGGUUUUUGUCUUGCCUGUUGUCAGGCUACCCAACACCUCAGCCUCCGCAGCUGUGACUGCGCCCAGCACCUCAGCCUCCGCAGCUGUGACUCCGCCCAGCACCUCAGCCUCCGCCCAGUCUCUCAGCCUCCGCAGCUGUGACUGCGCCCAGCACCUCAGCCUCCGCAGCUGUGACUCCGCCCAGCACCUCAGCCUCCGCCCAGCCUCUCAGCCUCCGCAGCUGUGACUCCGCCCAGCACCUCAGCCUCCGCCCAGCCUCUCAGCCUCCGCAGCUGUGACUCCGCCCAGCACCUCAGCCUCCGCCCAGCCUCUCAGCCUCCGCAGCUGUGACUCCGCCCAGCACCUCAGCCUCCGCAGCUCUGACUCCGCCCAGCACCUCAGCCUCCGCCCAGCCUCUCAGCCUCCGCAGCUGUGACUCCGCCCAGCACCUCAGCCUCCGCAGCUGUGACUCCGCCCAGCCUCUCAGCCUCUGCAGCUGUGACUCCGCCCAGCACCUCAGCCUCCGCAGCUGUGACUCCGCCCAGCAUCUCAGCCUCCGCAGCUCUGACUCCGCCCAGCAUCUCAGCCUCCGCCCAGCCUCUCAGCCUCCGCAGCUCUGACUCCGCCCAGCACCUCAGCCUCCGCCCAGCCUCUCAGCCUCCGCAGCUGUGACUCCGCCCAGCACCUCAGCCUCCGCAGCUCUGACUCCGCCCAGCACCUCAGCCUCCGCCCAGCCUCUCAGCCUCCGCAGCUCUGACUCCGCCCAGCAUCUCAGCCUCCGCCCAGCCUCUCAGCCUCCGCAGCUCUGACUCCGCCCAGCACCUCAGCCUCCGCCCAGCCUCUCAGCCUCCGCAGCUGUGACUCCGCCCAGCACCUCAGCCUCCGCAGCUCUGACUCCGCCCAGCACCUCAGCCUCCGCCCAGCCUCUCAGCCUCCGCAGCUGUGACUCCGCCCAGCACCUCAGCCUCCGCAGCUGUGACUCCGCCCAGCCUCUCAGCCUCCGCAGCUGUGACUCCGCCCAGCACCUCAGCCUCCGCAGCUGUGACUCCGCCCAGCACCUCAGCCUCCGCAGCUGUGACUCCGCCCAGCACCUCAGCCUCCGCAGCUCUGACUCCGCCCAGCAUCUCAGCCUCCGCAGCUGUGACUCCGCCCAGCACCGCAGCCUCCGCCCAGCCUCUCAGCCUCCGCAGCUGUGACUCCGCCCAGCACCGCAGCCUCCGCAGCUCUGACUCCGCCCAGCAUCUCAGCCUCCGCCCAGCCUCUCAGCCUCCGCAGCUGUGACUCCGCCCAGCACCUCAGCCUCCGCAGCUGUGACUCCGCCCAGCACCUCAGCCUCCGCAGCUCUGACUCCGCCCAGCAUCUCAGCCUCCGCCCAGCCUCUCAGCCUCCGCAGCUGUGACUCCGCCCAGCACCGCAGCCUCCGCAGCUCUGACUCCGCCCAGCAUCUCAGCCUCCGCAGCUGUGACUCUGCCACACACCAGGUGUGGGCUUUCUUGUGCAGCCUCCUGCCAAUGAAGAAUCAAGCUCUGCAAAACAGUUGAUUUAUCCUGAGCUAAAGGUGAGCGGCCAAUGGCCCAUAACACAGUCCUCAGGAGAUCCUGAGAACGUGUGCCCAAGGUGGCUGGGCUGCAGCUUCACUGUAUACAUUUUGGGGAGACAUAAGACGUCAAUCCAUACAUGUAAGACGUACACUGGCGGGACGACCGGAAGCCAAGGCAUCCAGGUCAUGGGCACAUUCAAAGAUUUUCUGAAAGAUUGACAGUUCAUUGAAAGAACUAAGUUAUUGUCUAAGGGCCCAGACUCCAUAGGAAAGAAUGUCUGAGUUAAGAUAAGGGGUUGUGGGGACCAAGUUCCCAUUAUGUAGAGGAACCCUCCAGUAGUUAACUUCAGAGAGAAUAGAUUAUAAAUGUUCCUUAUCAGAAUUUAUUCUUUCCUGGAUCAGGAAGAGGGCUUGGAAACAGAAGAGGAUUCUCUUCAGAAUGUAGAUUUUCCCCACAAGAGACGGCUUCGAAGGACUAUUUCAAGAUAUGGCAAAGAAACAUGUUUGGAGUUGAAACAGUUUGAUUUUCUUCUUUAUGUGUCAUGUGACGUUAUGCCAGAGUCAGGUUGAAAUGUUAUACAGGGUUAAAAAGAUGCUCCAAUGAGCCUUCAUGGUUUGCAGGGUGGACUCCCCAGGCCCCUUAGAUAGGAAUUUGGGCAAGAGAGGAAAAGGUCAGAGUUUAGCCUCACUCUGAUGGUGGCAGCUCCCACAACCUGCCUGGGUCUGGGGCGAGGUGGCCAUGGGAGUAGUUCUACACGAAAAUGCCACAGAACCUUCCGUUUCCACCAAGGGUCAGUAGUUCUUCUUGAAUAAAUGCUUCCAGCUUGCCAUA